AGAAUCAACGCUGGCGGCGUGCCUAACACAUGCAAGUCGAACGCGAAAGUCCCGAAAGGGAUGAGUAGAGUGGCAAACGGGUGAGUAACACGUGGGUGACCUGCCUUCGAGCGGGGGAUAACGUCCCGAAAGGGACGCUAAUACCGCAUGACAUCCUGCCUUUGAAGAGGUGGAGAUCAAAGCUGGGAUCGCAAGACCUAGCACUCGAAGAGGGCCCGCGCCUGAUUAGCUAGUUGGUGGGUAACGCUCACCAAGGCAACGAUCAGUA
rnacentral:rRNA from 1 species